UACGAGUGCCCCGAGCGUUAUCCGGAAUUAUUGGGCGUAAAGGGUGUGUAGGUGGUUGUGUUAGUCCUUUGUUAAAACUCUUGGCUUAACCAAGAAGGUGCGAAGGAAACGGCACGACUAGAGAGUGCGAGAGGUGAGCGGAACUCAUGGUGUAGGGGUGAAAUCCGUUAAUAUCAUGGGGAACACCGAAGGCGAAGGCAGCUCACUGGCGUACUCCUGACACUGAAACACGAAAGCGUGGGUAGCGAAUGGG
rnacentral:rRNA from 1 species